UCUAUCUCAUGUGGUUGACUUCUUUUAUUGACACAGCUUAUAUGUUAUACAGGUAGGGACAUGCACAGGAGUAAAUAGUAAUACGUACAGACAAUGCAAGACACACACAACAAAAAACGGUAAGGUGUGCCUUGUGUCCUGAUUCUUUUAUAUUGAGGAUGAAAACAAACAAAAACUGGUUGUUAAGAGAUAUAUUCUAAAAUACUUCUUCAGUAGAGAAUCAGAGAAGAGAAACACAGAAUUUCUUGCUAGCAAGGGCAGCCUCCAGAACUGAGACUCGCACUGAGGACUGCCCUGGUCUUUAUUUAUAAACUCCAGUGAGCGUUUGUUCCUUACAUUGGUGUGUGUGUGUGUGUGUGUGUGUGUGUGUGUGUGUGUCAGAGUGUGACCCCAUAAAUGACUUCCCUUAACCUGCUGGUCUGGAAAGUCCAACAGUUCAUCUAUAUGUAAAAAGGCACUUAGACUAAAACUGACAUAGCUACGUUAAUCCUACCGUAAAACAAUAAGACAAGGUACGACCUCUCCCAUGCUCGUAGGAUGUGGGGGUGAAUGCCAGAACACCCUGGAAUGUUACAGACCUCCUAGGAUGAGACAUUCUUUCAAUAUGCCACCAGCUAUAUACUUCUAAACACAAAUGAUUACAUGCAGUAUUCUACCAUAUGCAAACUUAUAUCAUUAAAAGAUUAUACUGACUACGAAGUACAAUUUUCCAUUGACACUGGUCCAGAUGAGUUCAGUCAAACAAUGAUUUUAUUGAACACACGCAUGGGGAGCAUCAUCAGCGUAGAUCUCCGCUAAAAAGCUUCAAAAUGGUUUUGAUAUGUCAGGGUUUAGCCCCUUCUUGCGUCAGCAAAGCAGAUAAUAUGCAUCAGUUACAGUUAAUGACAGUUAGACAAGUUUCCAUUAUCUGCAACCUUUUUACCAUACAUGGCUGUUUGUUUCAACCGUCUCACCCUCCAGAUGUUUCUCGUUGACUUGUUCUUUUCAUGCUUAUCUUUAACACGUCCUGCAUCAACAGUUGCUAUGCAAGCACAAAUGCAGUUACAAGCUAAAUGUAUCUCUCACUUCUGACCUAGAACUUAUUUGUGUCUGUAAGCGUGCUUGCAUUGGCCUUCUUGCGCUCUAAGUCACCUUACACAAUAUAUCGUCUGGACAUUCACACCAGACGAAGCUUAGGACCUUAAGAGGACUGAGCGCCAACUCUUUAUGAGCGCAUUUUAAAUUUAUGUAUAAAAAUAAUUACAACUCCACAUUUAAUAAAAGUUUUAAUAAAGUGGCACUAAUAAAAGCCAUGUAAGCAAUGAUAUAUUUUCUUUUAUUUCCACACUUGACAUAAACACAUACAAGCCAAGUGGCGAUCAUAUAUACAUAAACCCUAGAACGAUCACAAUCAACGUCGCAAUAAGCCCUCCCACGGCGACAGUAGCUUUUGAACAGCCACUGAGCUCUUUUAUCGUACUCUUGUACUCUUCCAUCGCAUUUUUCAGCCCGUCAACUGCAAAUUAAAAGAAAAACAAAAGUGUUAGGACAUAUGUAACACACUUUGAAAAAAAAAAAAAAACUGCUAACAUUGUUGUGCCCUUACUGUGUGGUGAUAUGUCUAUCAAGUGAACACUGGUGUUGAUGGGUUCCAAGAACUGUAAAGUAGGCAAGGCUAUAGAGUAGAGCACAUGACAUAUCAUUAUCAUUUUUUUACAAUAGCGACAAACAUCCGCGGACUCUUGAGCUAUGUUCACGAACUACUGUACAUACACUCGGUGGUAGAAGUUUCGCUU
ensembl:lncRNA